rnacentral:lncRNA from 1 species
GCGCCGUCAGCCCGUCAGGCCCACGCCGCGGCGAAGUUUUGACAGCUGCUCCAGUUGUUGUGGCCUUUUCAGCUUUAUUAUAUGUACAGUCAAAGGAAGCUUGGAGCAGGGAAGAAAGCUGCCAUAUGAAAGGUAAGCUACAAAUUAAAAGGAGAGAGGAAAUUGGGGUUUCUAGACAAAUUAAAUUACUUGUCGUUGUGGUAUAUUGAACCCAGAACUGCACACACAGCUAAGCUAACACUCCACCACUGAGUUUUAUCCCUAGACGGAAUCGUUUUUAAAGAUUUUUUUUAAGAAAUGUUUUUUGUUUGUAUUCGUGUCCGCAUGAGUUUAUGUACACCAUGUACGUGGAGAUACCUGAGAAGGCCAGAAGGUGUUCAGUCCCCUAGAUUGAGGUUACAGGCAAUUGUGAGCUGCCAUGUGGGCACUGGAAAUCAACUCCAGUUUCCUGCAAGAACAGUGCUCUGAAUCGCUAAGCCAGCUCUCCAGCCCCUGGACCUGGCUUUUAAAUAUAAACUUUUAAAAUAAAGCCUUUUUCUUUUGAUACUAGAAUAAGAAAAGUAUUCAUCUAAAAAAAUUAAACGUUAUAUUAUUGUUGCUAUGGUUAAAAUAGAGGAAUGGGCAUGGAACCAGGUAUAGUGGCCCAUACCUUUAAUACCAGGACUAGAAAGACAGGCAGAUGGAUCUCUAUGAGUUUGGGGACAGCAUGGUCUGCAUAAGACAACCCAACCAAGACUACAUAGUGAGACCCUGUCUUUCAAAAAAAAAAAAAAUUAGGGCUAUACAUAAUGAAACUUAUGAUACUUGGCUUCAGGUGUGUAGUUAUUCAUGUAAUUCAUAAAUUAAGAGAUGAUAGAACUUAAUAAAAAAUUGUAAAAUAUAGCUCAAAAUCAAAUGGGCUUGAUGAUACAACCCUAUAACCCAGUACUUGGGAGGAGGAAGCAGGAGGAUGAGUAGUAGUUCAAAGACAUUUCUCACUCUGUAGUGGAAUGGAAGCCAGCCUAGGAAAUGCAUAGCACCCUAUCUCAAAGUCAUUCCGGCUAACCUGUUAUGCUUGUGUUCUGUUCCUAUAACCUCAUCUAUUUUGCCCUCCAAAUCCCACAUUUGAAACCCCCUACCCAUGGACUAUAAGACUUUGUCUUCCGCCAGGCGUGGUGGCGCAUGCCUUUAAUUGCAGCACUCCAGAGGCAGAGGCAGGCGGAUUUCUGAGUUCCAGGCCAGCCUGGUCUACAAAGUAAAGACUUCGUCUUCCUCACAUCCAGUGCUGACAUCGUGAACCCUGUCUUACAGGGAGGCAGCCCAUGUACACAAAUAAAAAGGCUUGAUUUAAUUAAUUGCUUGUUUUAAUUAAUUUGGUCAUGAUUAUUUGAAUGGCUGGUCUUUCUCCUCUAUUCUUUAGGAUUAACACAUACCCAGUUUCAUAUAAACCUUUAAAGAGAUGAGUAAUAGAGUUAACCCUUAUCUAUAAAUUUUGAAUUUAGGGUACUGGAGAGAUGGCUAAGCGGGUAAGAGGACUCCUCUUCCAGAGAACCCAGGUUUAAUUCCCAGCACCCACAUGACAGCUCACAACCAUCUGUAACUCCAGAAUCUGACAACCUCACACAGACAAAACACCAAUGCACAUAAAAUA